rnacentral:misc_RNA from 1 species
GCGGACUACUCGGGUAUCUAAUCCUGUUUGCUACCCACGCUUUCGUGCCUCAGCGUCAGAGAUAAGCCAGAAAGCUGCCUUCGCCAUUGGUGUUCCUCCACAUCUCUACGCAUUUCACCGCUACACGUGGAAUUCCACUUUCCUCUCUUAUCCUCAAGUCAACCAGUUUCCAAUCCAAUCCCAUGGUUGAGCCAUGGACUUUCAAAUUAGACUUAAUUGACCGCCUACGCACCCUUUACGCCCAAUAAUUCCGGACAACGCUUGCCACCUACGUAUUACCGCGGCUGCUGGCACA